rnacentral:rRNA from 1 species
AUUGAACGCUGGCGGCAGGACUAACACAUGCAAGUCGAGCGGAGCGGCGGACGGGAGAGUAAUGCCUAGGAAUCUGCCUGGAAGUGGGGGAUAACGUCCGGAAACGGGCGCUAAUACCGAAUACUAUCAGAUGAGACUAGGUCGGAUUAACUAGAUGGUGGGGUAAAGGCAUACCCAGGCGACGGUCCGGAACUGGUCGGAGAGGAGGAUCAGUCACACUGGAACUGAUACACGGUCCAGACUCCGACGGGAGGCAGCAGUGGGGAAUAUGGGACAAUGGGCGAAAGCCUGAUCCAGCCAUGCCGCGUGUGUGAAGAAGGUCUUCGGAUUGUAAAGCACUUUAAGUUGGGAGGCGUUACCAACAGAAUAAGCACCGGCUAACUUCGUGCCAGCAGCCGCGGUAAUAC